AUGAACGCUGGCGGCGUGCCUAAUACAUACAAGUCGCGCGAACAGACGAGGAGCUUGCUCCUCUGACGUUAGCGGCGGACGGGUGAGUAACACGUGGAUAACCUACCUAUAAGACUGGGAUAACUUCGGGAAACCGGAGCUAAUACCGGAUAAUAUAUUGAACCGCAUGGUUCAAUAGUGAAAGACGGUUUUGCUGUCACUUAUAGAUGGAUCCGCGCCGCAUUAGCUAGUUGGUAAGGUAACGGCUUACCAAGGCAACGAUGCGUAGCCGACCUGAGAGGGUGAUCGGCCACACUGGAACUGAGACACGGUCCAGACUCCUACGGGAGGCAGCAGUAGGGAAUCUUCCGCAAUGGGCGAAAGCCUGACGGAGCAACGCCGCGUGAGUGAUGAAGGUCUUCGGAUCGUAAAACUCUGUUAUUAGGGAAGAACAAAUGUGUAAGUAACUAUGCACGUCUUGACGGUACCUAAUCAGAAAGCCACGGCUAACUACGUG
rnacentral:rRNA from 1 species